CCCGAAAGAUCGAACGGGGAGAUUCAUCGUCAGCGGCGUCGGCUUCGUCGUGGCUCGCGAUGUCGCGUACCCUCGGGUACGCGGCACGCGGUCGCGGUCGUUUUAUGCCCGGUGUCGUAGGCGUGCACUUCUCCCCCAGUAGGACGUCGCGACCCGUUGGGCGUCGGCAAUAAGGCCCGUCUGGUUGACUGUCCCGGCGUACGCGCACGGGGCAGACCUUCGGUUGCCCGGCCGGCUGCCCGGCGGUACUCGUACGGUAUUUAGCCGCAACUUCGAACGUGCGCCCAGCCCGUCGCAAGCUCGGUCAGCGUUUCCCGGUGGUCGGACCUAGCGCCGUCCCCGGGCAUGACCAGUUGUUCGCAGACGGUGUCCUCGGGCUGGCUAGAAAAUCGAAUACCGGUCGGCGACGCUAUUGCUUUGGGUACUUUCA
rnacentral:rRNA from 1 species